AUGUCAAAGUAUUGGUGGGCAGGAUCACUUGAUAAGAGAGGUUUACACUGGAAAUCGUCGGAAGGAAUGUCGGUUUCCAAGUAUAGAGGAGGCAUGUGUUUCAGAGACUUACAGUUAUUCAACGAUGCUAUGCUUGCAAAGCAGGGAUGGAGACUAGAGAACAUGCCAGAGAGCCUUUGUGCUAGCGUCCUAAGGGGACGAUAUUUUCCUGAUGGGAUUUUUUUGCAGGCUCCAUGCCCUAAUGGGUCAUCGGCCACAUGGAAGGCCAUCAUCCAAGGAAGAAGAGUGCUUAAGCAAGGCUUAAUACGCAGGAUAGGAGAUGGUCACACUUCUGAAAUUUGGCAUGAAAAUUGGAUAUCAGGUACUAUAUCAAUGAAACCAGUAUGUCGGUUAAGUGACGAACUAGUUCAGUUUGUGGCAGGUUUGCUUGAUGAAGAGUCAGGGAGAUGGAAUGAAGAACUUAUUCGAAGAUUGUUUAUUGCACCUGAUGCUGAUUCAAUCCUGAAGAUGCCACGUCCAAGAUUGCAGAUGAGUGACUUUUGGGCCUGGGAGGGUGAGCAAUCUGGCAUAUUUAUAGUCUGGUCGGCGUAUAGGGCAUUGAUGGAACGUAAACUUGCAAACCAGCCAAGUCCGAGUACUUCCGGUUCAGCCAAAAAUCCGUGUGUUCUGGUGGAGAGUUCUUAA
rnacentral:rRNA from 1 species